rnacentral:misc_RNA from 1 species
UGGAUACUCCUUUCUAAGGAUAAGGAAACCUGCCAUUUGUGUCUUGUUUAGUUUUGAGAGGUCUUGUGGGGCCUUAGCUCAGCUGGGAGAGCGCCUGCUUUGCACGCAGGAGGUCAGCGGUUCGAUCCCGCUAGGCUCCAUUGAAUCGAAAGAUUCAAAUUGUUCAUUGAAAAUUGAAUAUCUAUAUCAAAUUCCACGAUCUAGAAAUAGAUUGUAGAAAGUAACAAGAAAAUAAACCGAAAACGCUGUGAAUAUUUAAUGAGUUUUCUAGUUUUAAAGAAACUAGGUUAAUAAGGUUAAGUUAAUAAGGGCGCACGGUGGAUGCCUUGGCACUAGAAGCCGAAGAAGGACGU